rfam:Ictidomys tridecemlineatus contig009418, whole genome shotgun sequence.
GGGGUUGUAGCUCAGUGGUAGAGCCCAUGUCUAGCAUGUGUGAGGCACUGGGUUCAAUUCUCAGCACCA